CAGAGCAUGACCUUAAAAGUGAUAGUUAGAUGCCAUUUUUUUUUAGUUACUUAUCACUUAAAAGGUUGGGUUGUUAUUGUUACCGUGGACACUUUUUUCUAUGUUUCAGUUCUAAUUGUAUCUUGAACAUUGGGUGUUGUGUUAUAUAGAAAUAUGGAAGCUUUACUCACUAAAUAUCUAUGUGAACAUUUUAUUUGAUUCUGAGUUAAUUUUGAUUCUGAGUUAUAUUCAUUUUGGUGGUUCAAAUGUCUACCGUGCUACACUUGGAUUUGUACCUCAGUGGGGAUAGAUGGAAGGUUCAAAUGUUGGAUUUACUCUUAGAUAGAGAAGGCAAUUAUUGGGUUUUCCUCAUUCUCAUUUUAUACUUUUGUAAUAAUAGAGGAAUUAUUUUUCCUUUUAAUUUUCUAAAAUCUCUUGUGCCCUACAAUUAGAGCAUUUGAUGCUAACAAGUGAUCCUUACUUUUAUUAGAGAAAAUUAACUGAUGGUAUUUUACCUGAAAGUAAACAACCAUAUUUCUAUAAGGUUUUUCGACUGUUGAAACUGUAUUCUUAUAUAUUUUCAUAGAAAUGGUCUUCAUUUAAAGGACAUCUAGUUUGUUUUCAGGCAAACUAUAUUCUUAUAUAUUUUUGUUCUAUAAAGGUCAUCUAACAUUAUUUUUGGUAUUUAUAUCAGCAUCAUAUUUGAUCUUUAAUGCAAUACAAGCCAUAAUCCUCAUCCCCUAUUCACCUGAGGUGAAAUAUUCUUUGAAAUUUCUAUCUAGAUGGAAAUCUAGAAUUGUCCUAGUUGCUCUCAAAUUAAUGUCUUUUUUGUUUAUUAUUUUAACAGUGAAUUAGUUUAUCUCUUAUGAUUUCGUUUUGCUUUAUGUCACAUUUGUUCAUAAUGCAUAACUAGUUCUGUAUUGAAAGUUCUAACUAUUGUUUUGCUCGUAGCCUUGAAUCAUUGUAUGUGUUUUUAUAGUUUUUCGGCAAUAAUUCCAUCCAUUGCUUGUGAUCUUGGUUUCAUGAUUGAGAGGUAGAUCUAUGCUUUACUUAUAGGGAGGCAGUCUUCACAUUAGUCUCGUAGGAAGCAUAUCUUUCAUUCUUUUUGCUUUUAAGUUAUGUCACUGGCUUUAUCUUUUAUCAUAUUUUAACAAUUUUAGCAAUCUAGUGUUCUCUUUCUGUUAGUUGAAUUGAUUUUCAUAUCUUUCUUUUGUGUCGUAAGUUGUAGAUUUUUAUGUUCUUAUGCAGAGGAUGCUUAUGUUACCUACUUUCCAAUAUCAUUUGAUGGUUGCAAAAUCUAGGUCCCCUUAAUUGAGUAAAGGAAAGGAAAGUAGCAUACAUGCAUAUACAGGAGAAUGGACCAACUGUGCAUAUUUAUGCUGGUAGAAUCUAUUUUUUUCAAUUGGGUGAUUUAAUAUCUAAUGUUUCUCAUAUCCAACUCUGUAUGAAUAAUUGAAAUCUAGUUAACAUACUAGUAUUUAAUGUUUCUCAUAUCAAAUUCUACAUCAAUAAUUGAAAUCUGAUAAAACAUGGCAAAGAACAUACAUGCAAGUUACAGCAAACAGAGUUACAACUUAUAUUUAGCUGUUCGAUUAACAGACUUUGGAACAUUUUUAAGAAACUUGAUAUUGGUUUCUUUGCACAAGAUGGAUAUGUUGAUCAAGAAUAAUGACUAUAAAGUAUGCAUGUUGCUUUUGUCUUUACUCUAAGUGCUUCUUCUUCAAUAACUCUAUGCAGAGAUUAAGUAUGUCUCGAUUUAGUAAUUACUUCACGACUGUUUGCUGAAAUUUUGAGGUCAUGUUUUGCCAUGCAAAGUGAGUUCAUAUUUGUGUUGAGAAUAUGCCAACACAAACAUAAACACAGGUUGAGGUAGGAGCAAUACACCAUGAGAAUAUCACAAGAUUACUGGUAGCUAUAGACUUUUUGAAGAUCAUUCUGGUAUCAUGAUCUUUAAUCUAUGUAAUUUUAUUUUAUUUUAUUUUUUUUAAUGGAUCAGAGUUGUUUUGAUAACAUUGAGUUGGUGAAAUUGGAAGCAGAGUUUGUACAUCUUUGUUUGAAAUUGUUAUAUGAUGUUUUGCUGAAUUUGGAUCUC